UCUGAGCUCCCAGAAAAGGGAGCAUCAAGAACUCAUUGCUUCCUUGGAGGAAAGUAUGAAAAGCUUUCAAGACGAGGAAAAAUGCUUACGGAAUCAGGCUGCUAAUCUUCGUAAACAGAAGGAGGACAUUAGUAAUACACUGCAGAAAGAGGAAAAACAAAAUGACAAGCAAUAAUUCAGUAUACUGAACAAAAGAAAGGGAUACUGAAGUCGAUGGAGGAGCAGGAUGAUUUAGAUACCGAGUUAGUGAAGCUUGUUGAUCAGGCAACAGAAUGUAACAUUCAGCGAUUUCAUAAUGUGAUUAAAAUUAAGGUGAUUUAUAUUCUUUUUACUGCUUAAUAUCAUGUUAAUUGACACUCUAAUGGGUUGGCUUAGUUGAGCAUGACAAAACUUGCAUCUAGCUUGUUGUGGUUUCGAGCUCCAUUGGGUUGAGUUGAGGUAAAUGUAAUUCCCUUCACAAGUGAUUACUGAGCCUGGAUUUUGUCUUUCCUUAGACUGAGUGCCAUCCCU